rnacentral:rRNA from 1 species
CCUACGGGUGGCUGCAGUGAGGAAUAUUGGUCAAUGGCCGGAAGGCUGAACCAGCCAAGCCGCGUGAAGGACGAAGGUGCCAAGCAUUGUAAACUUCUUUUGUCAAGGGACAAAAUCAGGCUCGAGAGCCUGACCGAGGGUACUUGAAGAAAAAGCAUCGGCUAACUCCGUGCCAGCAGCCGCGGUAAUACGGAGGAUGCGGGCGUUUUCCGGAUUUAUUGGGUGUAAAGGGUGCGUAGGCGGGAUUUUAAAUCAGCUGGUAAAGCCCGGGGCAGAACCCCCGGCGAGCAGUUGACACGGGGUGUCUUGAGAGGUCGAGAGGCAUGCGGAAUGCGCGGUGUAGCGGUGAAAUGCUUAGAUAUUGCGAAGAACUCCGAUUGCGAAGGCAGAAUACCGGCGGCGAUCUGACGCUGAGGCACGAAAGCGUGGGUAUCGAACAGGAUUAGAUACCCGAGUAGUC